rnacentral:rRNA from 1 species
UACGUAGGGGGCAAGCGUUGUCCGGAAUCAUUGGGCGUAAAGAGCGUGUAGGCGGUCCGGUAAGUCGGCUGUGAAAGUCCAGGGCUCAACCCUGGGAUGCCGGUCGAUACUGCCGGACUAGAGUUCGGAAGAGGCGAGUGGAAUUCCCGGUGUAGCGGUGAAAUGCGUAGAUAUGCGGAGGAACACCAAUGGCGAAGGCAAUCUCCUGGACCUGCACUGACGCUCAUGCACGAAAGCGUGGGGAGCAAACAGG